rnacentral:sRNA from 1 species
AAUUGGCGGGAAAGUUUUUUUUUGGCGGGAAAAAUAAAAUUUGGCGCAAAAAAAUUAGCGAGAAAAUUUCAGUUUCCAAUUACAUGUUUCUAUUAGAUGAGGGUAAUUUGAUCAUUCUGUUCAAGGGAAAAGGUAUUUUUAAAAAUAGACAAAACAAAAGGGGUUGUUACAAAAGAGUAGUAUUAAAAGGGUAAUUUUGCAAAUCUCCCUAGAUAAAAUACAUAUGUUUGGGUUUAGAAUAUUGACUCGGGUGAUCACUAAUU